rnacentral:misc_RNA from 1 species
GCCAAGCUGAGGAAAUGAAGAAGGCUACUGCCCGAGAUAUUAACUUCCGCAGUAAAUUGAUAACAGAUCUAAUUUUGCAGUUGGCUCUUGAAAGAGAGAGACUUGAAAAACAGAUAGCAUUGCUGAUAAUGGAAAAUAAGGCCCAGAAGAAGCCUUUUCAGCAAAAGGAUAAAGUUCCUUCGCCAGCUCCCGAAAGUGAUGGCAAAGAUACCAGGGAAUCCAUGCUUCCCAAGGCUGAGCUUUCUGCUGUAACUUCUCUGAAUAAAUGCAAGGAAGAAAAGUUCUCAUCAAUAACUAAUGUGGAAGAGAAUGUUUAUGGUGACUUUAUGUCGAUCAAGUCAAAAGAGACUGAUUCUUCAACCAGACUUGAUGCCUCGCGGGACAUAGAUGCAAGGCAGCUUAGUUGGAAGUAUGUCCUUGCAGCAGUUCUCGUGUUUUUGAUAUCUGCAGUGGUAACCUUUUUAGUGCAGAACCAGAGUAUCCAGCUUUGAUAGUGCUUGAGAUUUUUGUUACUCGAUCAAGAGACCCUUGGUAUUAGGCACUUCUCUGAAAUCUUUAGGCCUACCUUCAUUGUGUUCGUGUCCUCCCUUGCUGCUUAUCACGAGUAGAUAUCAGUGUGUAGAGUGAUGUUUUUGCGCAUUUCUCUUCUGUAACUCUCUCCUCAACAGGCUUAAACGAGCCCCCCUCCCCCUUGGUGACUAAAAUAGCAGUUUCUUACAGAUGCACAGUUUUGCUAUUCAGAUUUUGUCAGCUUUACGGAUUAGUGUUCAGGAGAAGUUUGAAAGAACAAACAGUGGCUCAGCCAUCCAACAGAAGAAUACAGAAAACGUUGCACUUGCUGUACACAUUUGAAGGCUACUUGUUCCUCUCUUUCUUGUUUCUUGCCAAGUGCUUUAAAGGUCAUUUCUUUAUGUAGUUAAUCAACUUAGGAUCAUUUCGUAUGUGGGAUGUGAUAGAUAAGGAUAUCUUACGGGUUGUGCGAUUCCACUUUCU